rnacentral:rRNA from 1 species
CAAUUAAGUGUGAACGGUGGAUGCCUUGACACAAAAAGCCGAUGAAGGACGUUGCAGGGUGCGAAAAGUCUCGGUGAGGUCCCAAGCAACCUUUGAUCCGGGAAUGUCCGAAUGGGAAAACCCAUCUUGGUGGAAGACCAAGAUAUCUCUGCCUGAAUACAUAGGGCAGCAGAAGGUAAGCUGGCGAAUUGAAACAUCUUAGUAGCCAGAGGAAAAUAAAGAAAUACACGCACGAUUUUUUAUUAGCCGCGACAUGUGCGGCUAGUAAAAGAAUCGUGUUCUAUUCCGCAAGUAGCGGCGAGCGAACGCGGAGAAGCUAAAACCUUAUUGACUGAAGUUAUGCAAAUUUGCUUUCGGGUAAAGGCGCGUAACGGAAGGCUUUGCGGCCAUAUGUCUUUAGGGGGUUGUGAGAGUAAUAUAUUUUAAACACGCAAAUAUUUAAUAAGAGAAUAAGCGAACUUCCCUAGUAGAAUCUGCUGGAAAGCAGAGCCAAAGAGGAUGAUAGCUCCGUACGCGAAAGGGGUUAGCACUCUUAUAUUAUUUCUCGAGUAUCACGGGCCCCGUGAAAUCCCGUGGGAAUCCGGCGCGACUAUGCGCCAAAGCUAAAUACUUUUUGUGAUCCAUAGAGAACAAGUACCGUGAGGGAAAGGUGAAAAGCACCCCAAAAGGGGGAUGAAAUAGUAUCUGAAACCGUUUACUUACAAAGAGCUGGAGCUCGACUUUUAGUCGGGUGACAGUGUUCCUAUUGAAGAAUGAGCCAACGAGUUUAUGUGUACUGCAGCUUAAGUUCCUCUGGGACGUAGGCGCAGGGAAACCAAGUCCUAACCGGCGAUUAACUGUUUACAGUUAGGUAGUGCACAUAAGACCCGAAGCCGAGUGAGCUAGCCAUGGCCAGGGUGAAGUUGCUGUAACAGGCAGCGGAGGCCCGAACCCACUGGUCGUAUAACGCCAGGGGAUGAGCUGUGGUUAGAGGUGAAAUGCUAAUCGAACUCGGCAAUAGCUGGUUCUCCUCGAAAUAGUUUUAGGACUAGCACGUUACAUACCCGCAGGGGUAGAGCACUGAAUGGGUAGAGGUGGUCUUUGACCUACUCUUCCUAACCAAACUCCGAAUACUGCGGUUUGAGAGUAACGUAGUCAGACCAUGGGGGCGAAGCUCCAUUGGUCAAAAGGGAUACAGCCCAGAUCGUCGUCUAAGGUCCCCAAGAUUUAGUUAAGUGGCAAAGGUGGUAUUAGGACUCAUACAACUAGGAGGUUGGCUUAGAAGCAGCCAUCCUUUAAAGAAAGCGUAAUAGCUCACUAGUCCAGUCCUUUUGUGCCGAAAAUUCAACGGGGCUAAACUAAACACCGAAGACACGAAUUCCACGCUUGCGUGGAGUGGUAGAGGAGCGUUCCAGUGGCGCUGAAGCUGACUUGCGAGAGUUGGUGGAGCAGCUGGAAGUGAGAAUGUUGGCAUAAGUAGCAAAAAGACAGGUGAAAACCCUGUCCGCCGAAAAUUCAAGGUUUCCUGGGCAACGACAUUCGUCCCAGGGUUAGGCGAUCCUAAGCCGAGGCCGAAAGGCGUAGGCGAUGGACCAGACGGUUAAUAUUCCGUCCCUAGUAUAUGUUUCCAAUUGCUGACGCAGUUUUAACUGCUUGAACGUUCUUUUGGAAUGGAACGUUUGCGCUAAGGACCGGCCUCCGCCGGUUCAGAGCGUGAAGAGAAGAAACCUUUGGGUGGAUUCAAUUCAGGCGCGCGAACUGCCUAGAAAAGGCAUGAGGUUAUAUGCAUAUACUAAUCGUACCGCAAACCAACACAGGUGAAUAGGUCGAGAAGACCAAGGCGAACAAGAGAACCCUCGUUUAGGAACUCGGCAAAACAGCGACCGUAACUUAGGGAUAAGGUCCGCCCCCUUUGGGGGGCCGCAGCUAAAGCUUUCAAGCGACUGUUUACCAAAAACAUAGGUCCCUGCUAAACCGCAAGGUGAUGUAUAGGGGCUGAUGCCUGGCCAGUGUCCGAACGUUAAGGUGAUGAGUUUACGCUUUGAACCGAAGCGCGGAUGAACGCCAGCAAUAACUAUAAUUGUUCUAAGGUAGCGAAAUUCCUUGUCGGGUAAGUUCCGACCCGCACGAAUGGCAUAACGACUUGAAAACUGUCUCAACGAGGGACUUGGCGAAAUUGCGAGAUGAGUGAAGAUGCUCAUUACCCAUGGUUAGACGAAAAGACCCCGUGAAGCUUUACUACAGCUUGGUAUUGAUAUAUAGAUUUUUGUGUUUAGCAUAGGUGGGAGACUCUGAAGCUCUGGCGCCAGCCGGAGUGGAGUCGAAAUAUGAAAUACCACCCUCAUACAUUUGUAUAUCUAACUGCUUGCCGUCAUCCGGCAGCAGGACAGUAUCUGGUGGGUAGUUUGACUGGGGCGGUGGCCUCCUAAAAGAUAACGGAGGCGUUUACAAAGGUUGGCUAGCGCUGGAUGGAAAUCAGCGUGAUAGGGCAAACCCAUAAGCCAGCUUUACUGCAAGGGCG